rnacentral:rRNA from 1 species
ACGGACUAAUGAUUUUAUGAGGGAUUUGGUUGUAGCUGGCUCAUGAAUUUGAGCAUGUGCACACCUUUUCUCUUUCAUCCACACACACCUGUGCACCUGUGAGGCAGAUGGGGAAUUUGCUGAUUGUUUUUUUUUUAAACAAUUGGUGCUGGACCCUCCGUCGACUUUUUCCAAUAUAAACUCCUUAUAUUUUUUUAAUGAAGGUUGCGGAGGUUGCACCUCUUAUACUAAGUUUCUUCAACGGAUCUCUUGGCUCUCCCCUCGAUGAAGAACACCGCGAAAUGCGGUAAGUAAUGUGGAUUGCUGAAUUCUUUGAAGCAUCGAAUCUUUGAACGCCCCUUGCGCUCCUUGGUGUUCCUUGGAGCAUGCCGGUUGGAGGAUCAUGAAAUCUUCAAAGAAGAUCCUUUUGUUAACUCCACUGGUGCUGCUUUGGUUUUGGAGGACUUCGCAGCUUCACACCUGCUCCUCUUUGUGGAUUAUCUGGAGCUCCGCGUUAUGCUUGGUGCCUCUCGGCGUGAUAAGUUAUCUAUCGCUGACGAAACAGUAAAAAAAGGCCGACGGAAAUGAACAUGAACCACCUCCUAUGGUCGAUCUAUUCAGACGAUAAAUUCUUUAUGAUUUGAUCUCACAUCAAGCAGGACUAACUGCUGAACUUAAUCAUAUCAUCAAGCGGGAGGAAAGAA